GGUUAUGGCUCAGUGGUAGAGCGCUUGCCUUGCAUGUGUGAGGCACUGGGUUCGAUCCUCAGCACCA
rnacentral:tRNA from 1 species